AGUUUGAUCCUGGCUCAGAGCGAACGCUGGCGGCAGGCUUAACACAUGCAAGUCGAACGGGCGUAGCAAUACGUCAGUGGCAGACGGGUGAGUAACGCGUGGGAACGUACCUUUUGGUUCGGAACAACCCAGGGAAACUUGGGCUAAUACCGGAUAAGCCCUUACGGGGAAAGAUUUAUCGCCGAAAGAUCGGCCCGCGUCUGAUUAGCUUGUUGGUGAGGUAACGGCUCACCAAGGCGACGAUCAGUAGCUGGUCUGAGAGGAUGAUCAGCCACAUUGGGACUGAGACACGGCCCAAACUCCUACGGGAGGCAGCAGUGGGGAAUAUUGGACAAUGGGCGCAAGCCUGAUCCAGCCAUGCCGCGUGAGUGAUGAAGGCCCUAGGGUUGUAAAGCUCUUUUGUGCGGGAAGAUAAUGACGGUACCGCAAGAAUAAGCCCCGGCUAACUUCGUGCCAGCAGCCGCGGUAAUACGAAGGGGGCUAGCGUUGCUCGGAAUUACUGGGCGUAAAGGGUGCGUAGGCGGGUCUUUAAGUCAGGGGUGAAAUCCUGGAGCUCAACUCCAGAACUGCCUUUGAUACUGAGGAUCUUGAGUUCGGGAGAGGUGAGUGGAACUGCGAGUGUAGAGGUGAAAUUCGUAGAUAUUCGCAAGAACACCAGUGGCGAAGGCGGCUCACUGGCCCGAUACUGACGCUGAGGCACGAAAGCGUGGGGAGCAAACAGGAUUAGAUACCCUGGUAGUUCACGCCG
rnacentral:rRNA from 1 species